rnacentral:lncRNA from 1 species
AGGCACUUGGAUAUCGGCCCGCGCGGCCCGAGAUUUUCGUUCACCUGCGGCCGCCGCGUUUUGUGUCAGAAAUCGGGCCCCGUGAGGGGGGUACCUAUUUGUUUUGUUUCGUUUAUAGUGUUCUUUUCAAUUUAUGGAUUACUUCCGCCUAUCAAAUUAAAGAGGAAAGAAAGGCGCGUAUUAUGGCGUUUUCCACUUCGGGAUCGGUUGUGUGUGUUCGGAGUUACAAGGAGUUAAAAAUAAGCCCCUGAUCACAACCUGCCACUGUUCCAUUGGAUUUAUUGACAGCUCACCAGAAUAAAUCCUGACUUUAAUUAAAAUCCAGAAAUGCUGGCGGAGUUGGUCGAAUUCACAGAAAAACUUGUUUGAACAAGUUGCAAAAAAAUUGAGCACUUAAGAAAGCAUUUGUUGCAGACAAG